rnacentral:lncRNA from 1 species
AUUCUCAAUUUUACUUCAGAAAAGUAGUGUCAAAGGCGAAAAUUAUAGUUCAAUGGUUUGUUGUUGGGAACAGAGUCGGGCUGAGAAAAGUGUCCUUUUCUCAGUAUUUAACUGCACACCUACUCUCAUAACUGUCACUAUACUUUGAACAAAGGAUGAAGAGAUUCCUAUUACCAAUUUAGUUUUGGGUGAAAAAUUUAAAACUUUGGAUUGGUUUGAAACGAAACUGAUUUAAUAACAAGAAACAAAUUUCA